rnacentral:tRNA from 1 species
CCGCCCGUAGCUCAGUGGAAGAGCACUCGGCAGAUAACCGAGGGGCCGAAGGUUCGAUCCCUUCCUGGCGGA